rnacentral:rRNA from 1 species
UCCGUAGGGGCCUAGCGUUGUCCGGAAUCACUGGGCGUAAAGCGCACGUAGGCGGCUUUUUAAGUCAGGGGUGAAAUCCUGGAGCUCAACUCCAGAACUGCCUUUGAUACUGAGAAGCUUGAGUCCGGGAGAGGUGAGUGGAACUGCGAGUGUAGAGGUGAAAUUCGUAGAUAUUCGCAAGAACACCAGUGGCGAAGGCGGCUCACUGGCCCGGUACUGACGCUGAGGUGCGAAAGCGUGGGGAGCAAACAGG